GAAGCAUGACUUAGUGGAUAGAAGGCCAGCCCUGGAAUCAUAGUCUCCUUCUCUGUGACCCAGAGCCAAUCACUCAUCUUGUUCCUGCCCCAGGCAGAGUAACUUUCUAAGAUGGCUACAGAAGAGAUGGUGAUCUGCAAUGAUGGAGGAAUUUUCCACAGUGCGACUUCCCUACCCCUGGAAAUUCCAGCCUCAGACUGUCACUGCCUCUGCCUAUUCCCCAAAAGUGAUGUGUGGAGAACUGAACAGUCUGACUCCCCCUUUUUCAGUCUCCUGAACACAACAAAGCUUGCAUUUGACUCCAAGGAGGUUUGCUGAUUCUUUAAAGCAGAAAAAAUAUAUACCUAAGUCUAUUUCUAGCUUUGUCCAGACACAGCAGAAGCAAUUUAUUUCCUCUGGAUUUUACUUGUCAUCAUCUAUGAAGGAAAACAAUGUAUUUGACAGUACAGUAAUUGCUCUAAGCUCUCAAGAAGGAAACGGAGAGGAAUACAUUGGAAAAUACCUUAUAACCUCCAGGAAGACAUAAAGCCAGAGAGCAGCCACUGCUAUCAGUACCCAGCAAGGCAGGAGAAGAAGUAUGAGCAAAGAGGAAAACGGCAGAAACUCUUGGCACUCAGAGUAAUUGGAAGAGCAACUAGAAAUCUCUCACUGGAGAACAUCAAAUGCUAAAGAGAAACCUAGGAUGGCUUUCUAGUCCCAGGUGGUUUCAACUUCAAGGGAAGAGAUUCAAAGUGAAUGGGGACUACUCCGUGGUGGUAAUAGCUCAUAUUUAUAUGGUACUUACAAUUUAUAAA